AAGAAGAAGGGCGGGCGCGGCCGGGGCGGCAAGGCCAACAACCCGCCCUACCUGCCUCCCGAGGCAGAAGAUGGGAACAUUGAGUACAAGCUGAAGCUGGUGAACCCCUCGCAGUAUCGCUUUGAGCACCUAGUGACGCAGAUGAAGUGGCGGCAGCAGGAAGGCCGGGGCGAGGCUGUAUAUCAGAUUGGUGUGGAGGACAAUGGGCUGCUGGUGGGUCUGUCAGAGGAGGAGAUGCGUGCUUCCCUCAAGACACUGCGCCGCAUGGCUGAAAAGGUCGGCGCUGACAUCACCGUCCUGCGGGAGCGCGAGGUAGAUUAUGACAGCGACAUUCCCAGGAAGAUAACAGAGGUCCUUGUCCGGAAGGUUCCUGAUAACCAGCAGUUCCUAGACCUGCGAGUGGCUGUGUUGGGGAAUGUGGACUCAGGGAAAUCAACCCUGCUGGGUGUCCUCACACAGGGUGAGCUGGAUAAUGGGAGGGGCAGAGCUCGCCUCAACCUCUUCCGGCAUCUCCAUGAAAUUCAGUCAGGAAGAACAUCCAGCAUCAGCUUUGAGAUCCUGGGCUUCAACAGCAAAGGAGAGGUAGUGAACUACAGUGACUCACGAACCGCAGAAGAAAUCUGUGAGAGUUCCUCCAAAAUGAUCACCUUCAUUGACCUGGCUGGCCACCAUAAGUACCUGAAAACCACCAUCUUUGGCCUCACCAGCUACUGCCCGGACUUUGCUAUGCUGGUAGUGAGUGCCAACACUGGCAUCGCAGGUACAACGCGAGAGCACCUGGGCCUGGCCAUGGCCCUCAAGGUACCUUUCUUCAUCGUCAUCAGCAAAGUGGACUUGUGUUCAAAAGCCACUGUGGAACGGACUGUGAAGCAGCUGGAGCGCAUCCUGAAGCAGCCAGGCUGCAACAAGCUCCCCCUGUUGGUGAACUCGGAUGAUGAUGCUGUUACAGCAGCGCAGCAGUUUGCACAGUCUCCCAACAUCACCCCCAUCUUCACUCUGUCCAGCGUUUCUGGGGAGAAUCUGGAUCUCUUGAAAGUUUUCCUCAACAUCCUUCCUCCUCUGACCAACAGCAAAGAGCAGGAGGAGUUGAUGCAACAGCUCACAGAGUUCCAGGUGGAUGAGAUCUACACAGUGCCUGAGGUGGGGACUGUCGUGGGAGGAACACUGUCAAGUGGGAUCUGCAGAGAGGGGGAGAACCUGGUGGUUGGCCCAACUGACGAUGGCAAGUUCCUCCAGCUGAAGGUGUGUAGCAUCCAGCGGAACCGUUCAGCAUGUCGCGUGCUCCGGGCAGGACAGGCUGCUACCUUGGCCCUUGGGUCCUUUGACCGGUCCCUGCUACGCAAGGGCAUGGUGAUGGUGAGCCCAGAGAUGAACCCCACUAUCUGCUCAGUCUUUGAAGCUGAGAUCGUACUGCUUUUCCACGCCACAACUUUCAGGAAAGGAUUCCAGGUCACCGUGCAUGUGGGAAAUGUGCGGCAGACUGCCAUUGUGGAGAAGAUCCAUGGGAAGGACAAGCUGCGAACAGGGGAGAAGGCUGUCGUUCGUUUCAGGUUCAUCAAACACCCUGAGUACUUGAAGAUCGGAGCCAAGCUGCUCUUCCGGGAAGGUGUCACCAAAGGCAUUGGGCAUGUCACCGACCUUCAAGGCAUCACCACCAAAGAGAACAGCUUAGAGGAAACCCUGGGGACAGGAGGACUGAGCUUCUGACUACCUUUCAGUGGGAGCGCUCUCCAGACACCAACGAUUGGGGAGACUGAUGGGAGCUCCCCCAGCUCUUCAGGUGCUACCAGGAGCUGCUGCUACCCAGUUCUAGCAUGGGUUUCUCUCCUCCGCGUUGCAAGAUGGAGCCCAGAUUUUCUUGCAUUCAGUGCCCUUCGUGGGACAAAUGAAGCAUGUCUUUGCAUCGCCUGCUGUUUUCGUUAACCUGCCCUCUCUGAGAAUAGACCAGCGGCAGACCUGGGCAGGCGAGUCCUGGCUUUGUUUCUUGUUUGGAAAGUUACUGGCUUAGGCAAAGCAAAGCCCCUGAAGUGAAUGACUGGCAGCGAAGGGAACCUGCCUCCUGUCAUGCAGAAAGAUCAGCCCCAUUCUGGCUUGCCGAGCAUUGGGCCCUGUUGUCAUACUGUUUUCCCUAUGGGGCAAUAGACCUUUGGGUAGGGGCAGGACCAAGCCUUGCCACCUACAGCAGGGGCUGGGUUACACAUGGACUCACAAACAAAAGGAACGCCUCUCAAAUUGCUUUCAGGACACUUUUUAACCCUUUGAUUUUGGUUGGUUUUAAUCCAGUUCUAAUUUCCUUCUGUGCUGAGUUUUCAAGACUCCUCCUUAGUUUCAUCUCUUCCUGUGUGUGUCAACUUGGGGGAAACCUCCUCCCUGGACUAGCCCUCACCUGGUGGGGUGACUUCUGCCCAGUGCUCCUGUCAUGUGGGAGGUCUACACAGCCCAGUACAGUUGGCCUGCUAAAGGCAGCAUGAAGCCAGAUUUUACACCUGUCUCUUCUGCUCACUGAGGCUAGCCAUAGCCUGUGCUUAUACCUGCAGGUGGCUGUUGGAGUUUAGCAGCAGUGACUUGCAGUGGAUUUGUUGCAGUCAGACUGUGCCCCAGCCCAGCUCGCUCCUUGGGGACUUGCCUUAAUACUUAAGAAGCCUAGGGGGCAGUUAGCGGCACAACGCACAGUGGCUUCUACCAUUGGAUGCAAUUUUGACAGCAACUGCUGCAGUGAUACUUUUGCUCUCGUUCUUCUUGGUCAAGUAGAGGGGAGACGUCCUUGUCUCUGCCAUGGAGACGUGUCUGAGGAAAGCUAGUGUGAGCCCAUGGCUACUGAAGAACCUGUAUGCAGGUAGAGACCAGCAUGCUCCUGUCUCCCUCCACUCUGGCUAUAUACUUCCCCACUUGUGUCCUUCAGGUAACAAGUGCUAAGUAGUGAGGGGCAGCCUGGAGAGUGCAGUAGAGGCUGUAUUGCUGUACGUAAGGCUCCUGAUUUUCUUGGUGACUUCAGCCAGGCUGGUUGGCUGGAGCACUGCCUGCAGCUAGCAUGCUGCAUAAGGAGACAUGGACAGCUGGGCUGGGUAGCGUCUGCAGGUGGUGUUAAGGAGAAAAAAGGGAGCUAGUGUUUUGCUCCCUGCGAUGCAGAUCAGAUGCUCUAAGGCGAAUGUCCCUCAAACAACCUGGGGCCAGAUGCUUCUGCGGCCUCCUGCUCAGGGUUUUCUUCUUGCUGGGGCUGCCGCCAGGGUCCGUGGAGGACUCACCCAUGGAGAACCACACAGCUGAUGAAACUGCCUGCAAGCCUAAAGUUUUCAACCACACCCAGAACUGUUACAACGUGGCAGGAAUCCCCUUCCCAGAGCCAAGUUCACAUGCCAGCAGCUAGCAACCACUGUUUUGAAUGUGGCCUGAGCCUGAAGAAGUCACCUCCUGUGGGGGAGGUGGGGGUAGAUCCUGAUAAGCUGAGCUCUGCUAUGGAAAUGAAAGCUUCCUUAUUCAGCACAACAGCCGGUCUCUCCUCAGCACAGAUUUGCUCUGCUGCAGUGGUGCUGUGUACUGGGGUGAUCCUCUCUACAGCCCGCAAAGUAGGCUGUUCCCUACUUUGGGAGCUUGUCAGCCAGCCCCUUGUAGUCCUUGCUGCAGAACAGCUGGACCUGUAUCAAAGGCCAGCUGAUACAGCUGCUUGCAACCUUCAGGUAAAGAACAUGCUACUAUAAGCAGCAAAAAAUAGGUGGAGCCUCCUCUCUGGAAAGGGAAAAGUGCUUUUUUAAACAGACCCAAGGGAUUCUCUCUCAGCUUUUUUCUUUAAAAAUCACAUCACUGCUGUAGCUAGCCCCUAGUCCCAGGGGCCCCCUAGCAUGGUCCAAAGUAGUUAUCAAUGCUCAGGGAGAAUACAGAGCAAGUAGGACCAAUACUAGUGCAAUGGGUGCCAUGCAGCAGAAAGCUGUUUCCUGCCACUAUCUACACACAAAUUCUCUGUCAUGCUUUGAACUCCUGCCUCAUGCAAAAGUCAGUGCUGAGGGUCCUGACAUUAGUCAGCUGGAGUAGCCAAGAGAAAGAGGAAAAUCCAUUCCACUCCAGUAGCCUAAGCACAUGACUAAGAAGGAUACAAUGUCAGGCUACAUGACAGGCAAGCCCCAGCCCUGCCCUGCCUCACUGCGCCAUCUUAAGUGGGGAAAACACCACAGCCUACAGAGACCAAAGAUAACAUUCUUUGCUUUUUGUGCAAAACUCCACAGCAGCAGCAC